rnacentral:tmRNA from 1 species
GGGGGUGUUUUUGGCAUUCGAUAAGUGAGUGUUUGGAUUCAACCACAGCCGUGAAGGUACACGUAAAAACCAAUUAAAUUUAAAAGCUAAAACUAAACUUGCUAAUGUAUUUGGUGCAAACCAAAGCAUGGCAUUUGCUGCCUAAUUUAGACUAAGUUUGUCUUGCAGCCCGGAUCUGUGAGUUCGCUUUCUUACAGCAGAUCGCGCGUUAAACAAAGAAGAUCGAAAUAAGAGUUGAUCGGUUCCUUAUUUUCAGAUUUGUCGAUCACACCGCAUAUUCAUUUUGUCCAUCAUGAAUAUGCGUUCAUUUAGAUGGAAUAAGCUGUAAACGUUGCUUCGUGGGACCUCGCUUAGACAGGAGUUCGAUUCUCCUCACCUCCACCA